rnacentral:tRNA from 1 species
AAGACACUAAUAAAAUAAUUAUACUGCUUUGUCAAGGCAGAAUUGUGAGUUAAAACCCCACGUGUCUUA